AUUGAACGCUGGCGGCAGGCCUAACACAUGCAAGUCGGACGGUAGCACAGAGGAGCUUGCUCCUCGGGUGACGAGUGGCGGACGGGUGAGUAAUGUCUGGGGAUCUGCCCGAUAGAGGGGGAUAACCACUGGAAACGGUGGCUAAUACCGCAUAACGUCGCAAGACCAAAGAGGGGGACCUACGGGCCUCUCACUAUCGGACGAACCCAGAUGGGAUUAGCUAGUAGGCGGGGUAACGGCCCACCUAGGCGACGAUCCCUAGCUGGUCUGAGAGGAUGACCAGCCACACUGGAACUGAGACACGGUCCAGACUCCUACGGGAGGCAGCAGUGGGGAAUAUUGCACAAUGGGCGCAAGCCUGAUGCAGCCAUGCCGCGUGUAUGAAGAAGGCCUUCGGGUUGUAAAGUACUUUCAGCGGGGAGGAAGGCGAUGUGGUUAAUAACCGCAUUGAUUGACGUUACCCGCAGAAGAAGCACCGGCUAACUCCGUGCCAGCCGCCGCGGUAA
rnacentral:rRNA from 1 species